GCUGGGCAUGGGGGCACAUGCCUGUAGUCCCGACUUCUCAGGAGGCUGGGGUGGGAGGACUGCUUGAGUCCACGUGUUCUGGACAGUAAUGUGCUAUGCUGAUCAGGUGUCUACCCUAAGUUUGGCGUCAGUGGGGUGACCUCCUGGGAGUGGGGGACCACCAGCUUGUCUAAGGAGGAGUAAACCAGCCCGUCAGAAACAGAGCAGGUCAAAAUUCCAGUGCUGAUCAGUAGUAAGAUAGCACCUAUGUAUAGCCACUGCACUCCAGCCUGGGCAACAUAGCAAGACUCUGUCUCU
ensembl:misc_RNA Metazoa_SRP Metazoan signal recognition particle RNA